rnacentral:rRNA from 1 species
CCUACGGGAGGCAGCAGUAGGGAAUAUUGGUCAAUGGGCGAAAGCCUGAACCAGCAACGCCGCGUGCGCGAUGAAGGCCUUCGGGUCGUAAAGCGCUUUUGGGAGGGAUGAAAAUGACAGUACCUCCCGAAUAAGGAUCGGCUAACUACGUGCCAGCAGCCGCGGUAAGACGUAGGAUCCAAGCGUUAUCCGGAAUUACUGGGCGUAAAGGGCGUGUAGGAGGUUGGGCAAGUCGGCCAUGAAAGCUCCCGGCUCAACUGGGAGAGGCUGGUCGAUACUGCCUGGCUAGAGGGCAAGAGAGGGAGGUGGAAUUCCCGGUGUAGUGGUGAAAUGCGUAGAUAUCGGGAGGAACACCAGUGGCGAAGGCGGCCUCCUGGCUUGUACCUGACUCUGAAACGCGAAAGCAUGGGUAGCAAACAGGAUUAGAAACCCUGGUAGUCCAUGCCAUAAACGAUGUCAACUGGGUGUCGGCGAAGUAAAAUUUGUCGGUGCCGAAGCUAACGCGUUAAGUUGACCGCCUGAGGACUACGAUCGCAAGAUUAAAACUCAAAUGAAUUGACGG